rnacentral:snRNA from 1 species
UUACUCUGGUUUCCCUUCAGAUCGCAUAAAUCUUUCGCCUUUUACUAAAGAUUUCCGUGGAGGGGAACAACUCAAUGAGUCUAUAGACCAAUUUUUUGAUGCCCUGCCUUAGUGGCGGGGCG